UGAAUAGGAUAUAAUGAGGUUGCUAACUUCUAUUUUAGCUUAAGCUACUAUUUAU
rnacentral:tRNA from 1 species